GACACCUCUUGCUUUCACUGAGAACAAUGGUGAGAAAUAUUCCAAAGUACAAAGAAGCCAAAAUCGAAGGAAACAGCCGUGGUCUGGAAACGUGGCCUGGAAAAGAGCAUACACCUUAAAAAUGCUAUUUACGUGCAAUCCGCACGAUUUAGCAGCAUAUUUCAGAACAUGUACUUUCCUAUUGCGUAAGAAAAACUGGAACAGGC